AAAGCACCAACGGGCCUGGUGGCCAGGGAGAAUGGAAGAGGCAGUGGGUGCCUGGCCCUGGGACCCUCCUGCCUUGCUCUCGGCCAGGCACAGCCUCUGAUGGGGAGGUCUAGGCUGGAGACUAUGUGGCAAUGUGCCUGGGAGCCUCAAGAAACAUCUCCUAGAAACAGAGGGUGUGGUACCCAUUUUUCUGGGCUCCAGGAGGCAAGAGAGAGAAGGCCACUGUGAGGAUCUGUGUGUCACCCCUAUGUGGGUCCACCAGGAAAUAUAGAGAAGGUUCAUCUCUCCGGCAGAACUCGGAAUGCAGAGGCCAGUGAGAAGCUUAAUGGGUUCCAGGACUCACUAGUGACAUCAGCUGCAUCCUGGACCCCCUCCUGCCCUGCUAGCCCCCUGCACAUCCUAGAAACUGCACACUGUGGGGGACACUAGCGAGGACGUCCUCCUGUGACUGAUUCUCUCUGAUUCCAAGCUAGUAGGAGUUCAAGCUCUCUAGGGGUUGCCUCUAAAUAUGAGGACUGUGCUAUGCUGGGAAGUUUUAUCAACUUGACACAAGCUAGAGUCAUUUAGGAAGAACCUCAGUUGAGAAGGCCCCCAUCCCUUUGGCUGGUAGACAAGCCUGUGGUGCAGUUUCCUGAUUGGUGAUUGAUUUGGGAGGGCCCAGGUCACUGUGGGUAGUGCCACUCCUGGACAGGUGGUCCUGGAGUGUAUAAGAAAGCCGUUGAGAGCCAUGAGGAGCAAGUCAAUAAGCAGCACCCUAUACAGUGCCUCCGUACUGACUCCUCCAUCCAAGCUCCUGCCAUGACUUCUCUCAAUGAUGGACAAUGUGAAACUGUAAACUGAAAUCAAAUCCUUUCCUCCUCGCCAAGUUGUUUACGGUCCUGGUGUUUCACCAUAGAAACAAAAACCCUAAGACACUAGCCUGGGCGGUAACUUACUGAUGAGAGCUAGCCUGAGCCAUCAGAGAUAGAAUCCCUGGCCUUGGAGAAAGAUCACCCCUCCCAGCUUCCCCUGUCUGCAGGUUCCAGCUUCUCAAUGCCAGGUAUAGAAAGCAGACUUCCGGGGGACCUCAAAGGGCUCUAGUUUCCCACCUCCUACUGACCCGUUUGACAUACAGGGAUCUCGGGUCUGCUGUUCAGGGGUCCAAACAAGUUCCAAGGAUGUCACCUUCCUAGAUGUACGGUGAGAAUUGAGAAGUGCAAACUGGGAUGGUCUGAGAAGCAGGCUUUUUAACGCACAGUCCUGUGCCCAGGGCAGGAGCUAAGGAAGGAAGCUGGCUUCUGAGGUAAAGUCUCAGCACCUUUGAUUCCUCUUCCCACUUUGCAAUGCCUCUCUUGAAUGAAGGCUCUAGCUUCAUUGGGCUUUGCUCUGGGAUUCUUGAAAAAAAAAAAAGAUGUGUUUGUUCUUUGUAAAGUCAUCUAUAUGCACAGGGUUGUACACACACGAGUGGACAUUCCUCUGGAGGCAGAAAGAGUGGUCCUCUGGAGCUGGAGGUACCGGGAUUGUGAUCCACCUGACAUGGAUGCAGAAACAGAACUCAGGUCUUCUGCCAGAGCAGUGCAUGCUUUAACCACUGAGCAAUCUCGCCAGUCCGUCCCGUAGAUUCUUAUCCUAACCCUUCAUGUUUGCUUCCCUUCACCUUGGGGACCUGGAGAAGGAGGGUUAUCCAGAUGUCCUUAAGUGAGUCCUGUCCCCAACCCUGAUCUGCCUCUGCAGGACCCAAGCUAAGGAGUAAGGGGCAGUGACCACUGCCUACUAGCUCUGGGGGGUGAAGUGAGGUGGCAUGCCAAGGACAGCCCUAGUCCCAGGUGGGAUGGCAUCUGCUUUUAUCACGCUUGGUCACGCCUAAGGGACCCCAUGCUUUUCCCUUUCCUCUUCCUCUCUGCACCUGAUGCUCACAGGCUCUCUGAUCCUGUCUCAGUGUUGAUGGCCUCUCAUGAGUGUCCUCUGGGAAACCGCAGCUGUCUCACCUGUGGUUGUCCCCCAAGUCCUGAACCCUCAGAGGCCAGAAUGUCCUGGGGUUCCCUCAGGCGC
rnacentral:lncRNA from 1 species